rnacentral:rRNA from 1 species
UAUGUGAUCGUCUCUCGCAUAUCAAUAAGCGGAGGAAAAGAAACUAACAAGGAUUCCCCUAGUAACGGCGAGUGAAGCGGGAAGAGCUCAAAUUUGAAAUCUUAAAGGGUUUCCCUUUACGAAUUGUAGUUUAAAGAAGUGUUUUCUGUUGAGGUUUUGGUAAAAGUCCUUUGGAAUAGGACAUCAUAGAGGGUGAGAAUCCCGUAUUUGACCUUUACUUUCAACUUUGUGAUACACUUUCAAAGAGUCGGAUUGUUUGGGAAUGCAGUCCAAAAUGGGUGGUAAAUUUCAUCUAAAGCUAAAUAUUGGCGAGAGACCGAUAGCGAACAAGUACCGUGAGGGAAAGAUGAAAAGAACUUUGAAAAGAGAGUUAAACAGUACGUGAAAUUGUCAAAAGGGAAGCGUUUGACACCAGUGUUGUUUUUCUGAAAAUCAAUUAAAGAACUGUUUAUGCUAAGUUGUUUAGACUUUAUCAGCUAACUGUUUAGUUUUGAGCUUUUCUUUAAUGCACUUUUCAGUUAACAAGUCAACAUCAAUUUCUUUUGCUGUAAAAAAGCUUGAGGAAGGUGGCUUGAGAUUCGUCUUAAGUGUUUAUAGCCUCUUGCCUAUGCAGUCGGAGAGAUUGAGGUCUGCAGCGUAGAUCCUUCGGGGCUAAAUGCAUUUGUGCUAAGUUAUAGCAUUUCAUAGACAACUUGUUGACUAUGAUUUGUCUUGUAGCUUACUCGCUUAUGUUAUUUUACCUACGCUUAGGAUGUUGAAUCUGUGCGAGACUAC